rnacentral:rRNA from 1 species
CAGUCGCCACGGUAAUACAGAGGGUGCGAGCGUUAAUCGGAUUUACUGGGCGUAAAGCGUGCGUAGGCGGCUUUUUAAGUCGGAUGUGAAAUCCCUGAGCUUAACUUAGGAAUUGCAUUCGAUACUGGGAAGCUAGAGUAUGGGAGAGGAUGGUAGAAUUCCAGGUGUAGCGGUGAAAUGCGUAGAGAUCUGGAGGAAUACCGAUGGCGAAGGCAGCCAUCUGGCCUAAUACUGACGCUGAGGUACGAAAGCAUGGGGAGCAAACAGGAUUAGAUACCCCUGUAGUCCCUGUAUCUUAUAC